rnacentral:tRNA from 1 species
AAGGCUUUGGCUUAAUUAAAGUAUCUGUUUUGCAUAUAGAAGAUGUGGGAUAAAGUCCCGCAAGUCUUA